rnacentral:snRNA from 14 species
CUGGUAGCUUCAGCAGCACAUAUACUAAAACUGGAAUGAUACAGAGAAGACUGGCAUGGCCCCUGCACAGGAAUGACACACAAAUUCAUGAAGCGUUCCAUACUCAA